rnacentral:tRNA from 1 species
UAAAUAGAAUAAUGAUGAAUGGAACAAAGAGAAAAAUCCUUUAGCUGGAUAA